CGCAAUGGGCGAAAGCCUGACACAGCGACGCCGCGUGAGGGAUGAAGGCCUUCGGGUUGUAAACCCCUUUUCUCAGGGAAGAAUAAUGACGGUACCUGAGGAAUAAGUCUUGGCUAACUACGUGCCAGCAGCCGCGGU
rnacentral:rRNA from 1 species